CCCUGCAGCUGGGAAAGGAGCCCCAGCCCCAGGAUCCCCAGGUGAUCCCAUUCAGUGAUCAAGACAGAAGACAGACACCUAACCAUGGAGACUGUGCUCAGCUGGAUUUUCCUUGUCGCUAUUUUAAAAGGUGUCCAGGGUGAGGUGCAGCUGGUGGAGUCUGGGGGAGACCUGGUGAAGCCUGGGGGGUCCCUGAGACUCUCCUGUGUGGCCUCUGGUUUCACCUUCAGUAGCAACGACAUGGACUGGGUCCGCCAGGCUCCAGGGAAGGGGCUGCAGUGGCUCACACGGAUUAGCAAUGAUGGAAGGAGCACAGGCUACGCAGAUGCUGUGAAGGGACGAUUCACCAUCUCCAGAGACAACACCAAGAACACGCUGUAUCUGCAGAUGAACAGCCUGAGAGCUGAGGACACAGCCGUGUAUUACUGUGCGAAGGACACAGUGAGGCGACCUCAGUGUUUGCCCAGACACAAACCUCCCUGUAGAAGGGGAUCAGGACCAACAGGGGAUGCGCAGUACUCACCACUUCUGUCUUGA